UAGUUUUAAUGAAUCUAAGUUUAAAAUGGACAGCAAUUUCCUGUUGUAGAAACCUACAAAUGUAGAGGACGACGUUUCGAAAGUGUUCCACCCUUCGUCUU